ACACAAGGAAGGAGGUGGUCCGCGAAUUGAUAGCGUCAUGGACAUGUGAGGUGGCUGCGCGCUAAGCAGCGCACAGGCGAGGAAUCUUCGGCGCGCGCUGGCGAAUUCCCCGCAGUCACCCGGCCCCCGAGCCUCCGGUCAGUCCAACCUGGAACUACGGCUCGGGGGCCGUCCCAU
rnacentral:sRNA from 1 species